rnacentral:rRNA from 1 species
GAUGAACGCUAGCGGCAGGCCUAAUACAUGCAAGUCGAACGAGAUUGAAGAGCUUGCUCUUCAUGAAAGUGGCGCACGGGUGCGUAACGCGUAUGCAAUCUACCUUACUCAGGGGGAUAGCCCGGAGAAAUCCGGAUUAACACCGCAUAACAUAAUGAUAUGGCAUCAUAUUAUUAUCAAAUAUUUAUAGGAGUAAGAUGAGCAUGCGUGACAUUAGCUAGUUGGUGAGGUAACGGCUCACCAAGGCGACGAUGUCUAGGGGAUCUGAGAGGAUGACCCCCCACACUGGUACUGAGACACGGACCAGACUCCUACGGGAGGCAGCAGUAAGGAAUAUUGGUCAAUGGAGGCAACUCUGAACCAGCCAUGCCGCGUGCAGGAAGACGGCCCUACGGGUUGUAAACUGCUUUUGUACCGGAAUAAACCCUCUUUCGUGAAAGAGGUUGAAUGUACGGUAAGAAUAAGGAUCG